UUUUUCUCUUUCGUGGUUUUGUGUGCUGCUCCCGUGCGCAUCCACCGCCGCUACCGUUAAACUCCCUCCCGACUUUCCCUAGCCGCUGCAUCGCGGAUUCACCAGAUCACCUCUUUCUCGCGCGGCAAGUGCCCGGUCUGCGUGUGCAUACGCUUGCGUCCAACUUUAGCACUGAAUUGUAGCGGGCCGGUGUCGCGUCGCAGUGAUACAGAAGGAUCGACAGAGGAACACGUCAAGUAGGGUGAAGGAACGGCGCAGAGGCAGAGAGCUCAUCGUACCAGUCACCUCUACGCAUAUAUAUAUAUAUAUACAUGCAGGUGCAUCCAUACACACGCGAGCUGCUUCAGUGUUCAUGUAAUCUUCCCCCUUCCUUUUGCCUCCUCCUCUAUUGCAGGGUUUCACCUGGAAAGCAAAACACAUACAUACACACACACACCAACUCGCUCAUUCUCCUUCGCACAGGUUGCCGUCUUCCUUGAUUUUCACCAGGAGCACGCUCCGAUCUACAUAUCGCUGCUGCCGCUAUCACGGACGUUGCCGUUUUCUUCUGCCGUAGCUGCGACGGCUUCUGCUCUUCUCUUCCUUUUCCUCUCUCUUUGGACGCCUCUUUUUGUGUGUGUUGUUCCAGUGUGCUUGCUAAUGCUCGUAUUCUCACUGUUGUGCGAGUAGACGUUGCCUCUGUACCGCUCUGCUUCUUUUCGGCAACUGUGGCUGCCGUGUACGUGCGCGAGAGUUUCCGUCGCGUAAUUGUGACUGUGACUGUGUGUGUGUGCAGCUCUCUUUCUCUCUGCUGGUAUGGGCGUAUUUGCUUACUGCUGUCACCCACCGUUUUUCUUUGCUAUUGUGUUCCUUAUACCUUGAUACACGCCUGCCUCCCUCUCUCUGUUGUACACGCGCCUCUCUCUGUGUGUUCCUACGAAACUGCGCGUGUGUCUGUGCGGUUAAUCUCGUCGCUGGUGCUCACUGUGUAACAUCUUGUUUUUUUUUCCUCGGUAAAGUUCUGUCUGUCUGUCUGUUCUCCCCACCCUCAGGCUAAUUGUGAAAGCCGUUGUUUGUGCGGGGGUGUCCGUGCGCUUUCUUGGAGACCGUGUAUAAUUCCUUUCGCACUCGCCUCUCAUCACCGCAGAUCCACACCGUCUAACACCCCCUUCCCCCCUCUGUGUAUGUGCACGCGUGUGCCUGCGCACAGACGCAAGCACGGGCGGACACGCUAAGAUACACUAUCGUCCAUAUAUAUCGCGAAGAAUUGUUCUCUUCCCGAUUGGACAUCGCAUUGCCCGACAAGCGCAACAAGAGGAAAGAGAGACACAGGAAGGGAGAGCGACAAGGGACCUGAACUCUGGGGACUCCUGCCGUGGCGGCGACGGACUUGCUGCUGAGCGCCGCACAGCCUUUUCGGAUCUCCCAAGAUCAUCUUUGCUCUUUUUUUUUCUCGUUUUGCCCCUCCCCCCUCCCCCUCCUCCUUCUUCCCUUUUUCGUGUUGUGUUUGUCUUCCGUGCUACGUCUGUGCUGCUUGUUUGUACGGGCUUCAUCACCAGGGAGGAGCGUGAGGAACGCCCUCACAUUUCACGAACUCUUUCUCUCCAGCCUUACAAAAAGUCAAGACCACCAAGCGACGGCAGCUUCCACUGCUUCACCUCAUCCCGGCGCGCUCUCGGCCAUCGCUUCUGAUGGACAGCACGCUGGCAAAGCUCCCCGCCACGCGGUGGGACCGCCUGAUGGCGGUGCUGGAAGAAAACGAGCCCGAGCGAGCGAUCGAUGCCCCAAACAUCCUGGAACGGGCCAAGAAGCUGAACUUGUCUGACUUGGAGCUGUUUUAUCUUCUACUCAUGCGCUACCAGGAUAAGCAGCCAAAGAUUUUGAUGGACGUGGUGAGCCUCUACGCAAUGAUGAGUACGUGGAUGGAGUGGAUCGUGCAGGUGCAGCGCUGCCUGGACGCGAAGAAGCGCAAGAUGGACGCCGGCAGCCCUUCCCAUACGGCCACAGGGGUGCCGGUGCUGAUGCCCACUUCGUCCGACUUCGCCGACUCUGGGCGCACAUUCCUGUCCUGCCCCAGUAGCAACUGCACGAACACCCCGAUUUCCUCAAAUCCGGCGUACAGUUCAGAAAACUACGGCAAUGACUUCGGUAGCCGGCCGGACAGCGCCACCCAUGCCGCCCGCAACCCCGUCUCCUCGACCGUGCGCGGGUUUCACGAUAAAUCGGGCCGCCGCAGCCACUCGACGAGCUUCCACUGGUGCUUUGACCUCGGCCCUGACUGGAAGUGGGACGGCUCACUGGACUUUCUGCGCAACGGACGCGUGCUGAGCUGUCUCGUGGAGGAGGCCCUGGACCGCUGUGGCAAGUUGGAGGUGCUGCCGGACGACCACCGCGUUCACCCAGGGACGCCGAACCCCAUCACCCACGAGAUCCUGUACCCCUCGCUGGCGGACAUCGAUCGUGUCUUCAAGGGCGCAGCCGAGGAUGGAGCAACUGACGUCGUCAGCGCGAGCAGGUCCUUUAGCAAACUGAACUAUCUCUCCACCCUCGACUUCUCACGUGGGCUACAGCUAAGCCGAGGUGACAAGGCGCAGCCCUCAAAGGCACUGAAACUGAUCGAGGAACAAGGGAAGAACCUUGCAGCGGCGGAGCAGUGGGUGCGAAAGCUGAAUAGCAUGUGCGAGCGCUUUCUCGGCUGGGAAAAGUCGGCGCACGAAAACCGCGCCUUCUUCGACCUCUGCAACCCCGACAACCUUGUACGCCCGCUCAACUCGGACGACGCGCGUUUGCUCUACCGCAUGCACUGGCUUGCCGUGGCACUUUACCGCGCUGUCAAGGAUGCGUCCAUUAUACCGGCGCCACCGCGCAUGAGCUUCAUUGUAUGCCACGACGACCUUGGAGGACUGCCGGACACAUCGGCGGAGGACGACGAAAUCGGCCUUUUAGUGGCUACCAAGUGCAGCUGUCUCCCCCUCAAAGCGCGUCUGAGCGUGACCAUGAAGGACUUCAACACCAUGCAGCUGCUCCACCCCGACAUGAAGCACGGCCCCCGCGUCCUGCCGUGCACCAUAGUGAAAGGCGAGGUAUUUGCUUACUUUGAGGAGCGCCAUACCUUUGUCCCGGUUUGGUCGGUCUUCCAGUACCAUCUCCAGCACUUUGACGGGCUGGUCUGGUGCUUCGAGAUGAGCCGCCAAGAACGGGAGCAAGAGCGACAGGUGCUCGGGACGAACUUCUCAGCCACUCGCCCGGACCUCGGCGCCAGUGAUGACUUCGCCUUCAACGGUAGCAGUGCGGCGUUCGACCUCACGGUGCACAGCUCCACUGUUCGACACGACCGCCAGCGCAGACCACCAGAGUCUCCGAGCAAUACCCAGUGGAUGCGCGGAUCGAUCACCCCCAAACCCUUUGAUUUGCCCACUGAUUGCAAGGCGUCUGUCACGCUGCUGCCACAACGUUUUCCCCACCAGCCAGCGGCACAGUCGGGCACCGGCGUCGAGAUGGGCGUCAGUGUGUCAAAGGUGCGGCUAAACCGCAUUGCUAUUCCGUCCCCCCGCCCUUCCUCGGCAUGCCCGUCGCCCUCCUCAUCACCGGCUACCACUUCAAGGGCUGCUGACCCUUUUGCGCAACUGAGCGCCACCCCAGCUGCUGGAACCGGCAUCACUAACAACGCCAACGCCUUCUCAUCGACGACCUGCGGAGUUUCUACCGCUGUCGUCACCAGCGCGUCAUCAUCGGGCAUCGACGCAGUCUUGAACGCCAUCAAGAGCCCGAUUUCAGACUUGUCGCUGUCGAUGACGGCCUCGCGACAGGCUACGGCGGUGUGCACGACUGGGGAGCAGGAGACACCGUCGACGCACAUUGCAUACCUUCUCCCCCCCAAACGAUCGAGCGAGGCGCUUGACGAAUCAACAGAGAACACCGAGCUUCUCUCGCGAGAGGUGACGGUGUGCAUGGAGGCAAAGACGAAGGAGGUUGUGGAGCGUGACCGCAUUGUCGGCGCUGCCGCCAGCGAUGCGGCGGUGCUGAAGCCGUCCUGCACCAUUUCCUGCUCCCCUUGCUCGCAGGUGAUGGUGACUCAGGAGGCGCACUAUCACGGCGGCGCCGAGGCGCCGGAGGAAGACGAUGAUGUGAUCAGCGACGCGACGAUGACGGUGGUGUGCAGCGAGAGCCACACGAUCAUCCGAAACUUCACUGCAGCAGUGGUGCAGGAGUCGGAGCAGAGCGGCAUUUCGAUCUUGUCCCACCACUUCCGCGUAAGCAGCGGCCCCAUCGGGAAGGGUGCCUUUGGUGCCGUAUACAGGGCUCUGAAUCUGGAUACGGGCAGAAUCGUAGCGGUGAAGCAGUCGCGCUACUCUUACGAUGACAAAACAGCGGACCUCAACUGGCGUGAGUUUCAAAUGUGGUCGAUGCUGCCGCCGCACGCAAACGUCAUCACCUUCUACGGUGCGUCGAGGGAGGUCGACACGAACCAGCUACUGCUCGUCAUGGAGUACGCCAGCGGCGGCAGCAUUGUGCAGCUGUACCGCUACUUUCGGCCCAUUCCAGAGCCGCUCUUCUACGAUCACGCCGUCGGCAUUGCACGCGGCCUGAAGCACCUGCACGACCACAAUGUGAUCCACGGUGACGUGAAGCCGGAAAAUGUGCUGACGCGCUCAGACGGCAGUGUGGCCAUCUCUGACUUCGGGUGCAGUAGCUUCUCCUUGGUCAGCUCGGACAACGGCAGUCCUUUGCUCCGCUCCUCCAAGCGAGAGAGCGGCUCCUUGCAGCUAUUCGGGACAGCUGCGUACAUGGCACCGGAGGUGAUCUUGAAUGAGCCACACCUCAAGUCAGAUGUGUGGGCCUACGCGUGUACGCUGGUGCAGCUGUGGCUGGGAAAGUCACCGUGGUCCUAUGGUGAGCGCCGCUUCUCGGCACUGGACUCUAUUCCACUCAUGUUCUACAUUGCGAAUGAGGAGGUGGUGCCCUUCACGACGGAGCAGCUAGAGAGGUCGCCGAGGUGGUUGCAAUGCAUCGCCCGACGCGCGUUUGAGCGGGACGUGGAGCGGCGCUGCACCAUGGCAGAAAUCAUCAGCAUCCUGGCCGAUUACAGCAAAGUGUACCGCCCGUAGGCCACUCCGCAAGCUUUUUGCGGAUGUGCUCAUGCCUCAUCCCCCUGUUCACUUUAUUUCUCCUCUGCUCACCACCUCUCUCGCCUGCUCUCGAUCCUCUCUGUCCUUGUACCGUCCGCGCUGUUCUUGUCGUUGCCGCUGGUUCUCAUGUCGUGCUUCUGUCUCUUCCAUUUUUCCUUUUUUUCCUUCGGGAUUUGUGCGUAUUUCACUGCCGCCUUCCUCAUCACUUUUCCGCCCCUCUGUUGUUGCUGUCUUCUUCGCCUUUGUUGUCCUUUUCGUGGGCAGGCGCCUUUCUUUUCUCCUUGCUCUACCCUCCUCCCCCCCAUCUCUCUCCUUGUGCGUCCGUGUGCCGGCCUCGUCUGUCUCUCUCCCAGCCUCAUCACAGCCUCCCCUUCCUACACCUCUGCUCUGUGUCCUAUGUGUAUGUGCGUUCACGAUUGCGUGCGCGCAUGGGUGGGACAGGCUCAUGAGCGUAUGUCUCUCUGUAUAUGUGUAUGUGUACGUGUAUGUGUAUGUGCGUGUGUGCGGUCAUACCUUUCCGACCUUUCUUGCUACUGCUUCUUCUCUCGUCGCUUCGCUUACCGACUUCUCUUGCCUUUUGUAUUUUUUCUUUUUCGUCGGUGCGUGCUUUCCUCACCGUCGAGCUCUCCCCCAUUCGUCUGUUCGUCUGGUCGGCUCUCACUGUAUGCCCAACGACAGCGAGAAACCGAAAAUAUAACAUACACUCGCACACAGCCCCCUCACCUAGGAGCCGUUGCAGGAAACGCUGCGUUAUAUGGAGAAAAGGGUGUCUUAUAAUUCCGCCCUAUCGCUUUCUUGUUAACCCACCGCAUCCUUGUCGUGGCGUGGGAGGGGGCUGGUGACAGCGAGAGCGAGUGCGUUCGAUAUUGACACCUGUAUAUGUGUAAUGUGCCCGUAGAUCCUCUGCUGGGGUGAUCUAG
rnacentral:misc_RNA from 1 species